rnacentral:rRNA from 1 species
UACGUAGGGUGCGAGCGUUGUCCGGAAUUAUUGGGCGUAAAGAGCUCGUAGGCGGUUUGUCGCGUCGACUGUGAAAACCUGGGGCUUAACUCUGGGCCUGCAGUCGAUACGGGCAGACUUGAGUUCGGUAGGGGAGACUGGAAUUCCUGAUGUAGCGGUGAAAUGCGCAGAUAUCAGGAGGAACACCGGUGGCGAAGGCGGGUCUCUGGGCCGAUACUGACGCUGAGGAGCGAAAGCGUGGGGAGCGAACAGG